CUGCUAAAGGGUUUUAAAAAUACAUAUAUUUAUACAUUUAUAUAUAGAUUUUAAUGUUAUGCUUGUUGGAAGUUUGGUCAUCUUUUACUCACUAAGUCAUUCAAAGUGACAGAAAAUUUGACCAGGGGUGGACAAACUUGUGCAUGACACUUUAUCUGCCCUGCAAACUUUCUAAUUUACAGAAGUUAAGUGUGGAGGUGGAGGUGCCUCUUAGCUUUAGCAUGACUCUGCUCCGGUUUAGCAUCUCAGCUCAGCAGCUCUUCGCCUUCAGCUACAACAAGUUAUCAUCCCUGAUCUCCCCCUCAAGUUUUCAGCUGCCCACAGGACACCGCUCACAGGACUCCACCUACAGGACACUGUUGCCUGCAUAUUUCUGAGAGACUCGACUGUCACAGCUGAUCUUGGAUCAGUUAGGUGCUUUCUGCUUAGCCUUGAGUCCUUCCUCUCCACUGCCAGCGGCCAGCGAAGCAGCCGAGCGUGAGAGCCACAGUAAUCGCCCAGCAUAUGAUGCAGCAGGGAGUGCUUGUCCAUUGGCCGCAGCAUCAUCAGCACUGCCCCCUGGCUUUCAGUAAGCUGCUAAAGGUCACUCCUAUUUCUUUUUGGUGUACAUUUUGUUCCCACAACAGUCUCUGACACUUUGAGUCAUUGUCAGGAUCCCAGAUUCAGUCAAGUGUAAAAUCAGAGCUUUAACACGGCUGCUUCCCAAAAUAACACCCCACUGCUUCUGGUCAAAUAGUCAUAGACACAAAUGAAUCCUAAAAUAUACGAAGCGGUGAGUAAUCGUGUGGUGUGUCGUCUGCUUUGCACAAGUUCUGACACUUAAAUGUCACUGCAACAUGAGAUUAUAAACUCAGUAAAAUAAUGCUUCAAAC
rnacentral:lncRNA from 1 species